GUAAGUUUAUAAGCACUUUGGUGGAACAAUUCCCGCUCUCAUUUGAGUUGUUGUAUUGUUGAAGUGAGACAGUUUUCAUUUAUAAUAAGUAACAGAAUGUCAGAAGUUACUCAAUCUAGUAGUUCAGAAAUGCCCAGCAUUGAUGUACCUGGUAAAACGGAUACAGAGUUCAUGAUGUCCAUUGUGAUAAUUUCUACAGCUGACCUUGCCAAGAAUAUGAAGGAAGCUCUGCUCGAAUACCACAAAGCUCACGAGGAGCGAUAUAAACUCUAUGUCCAUGUUUCAGAGAGAGUGAAACGGCUACUGAGUAACUUAGCCGUGCAUGUGGAUUACUACAUAAUCUUGGCAGAUCCGAGACGAGCUGAUGCUGCAGAUAAAAUCAAAGAAGACUUGUUGCAUCUCAGUCCUGUGUUUCUGGCCACCGGUCGGUGUGUGAUAGCUGUGUCCUGGCCAGAGGGAAUACCACCACACCUGGUUGCGACGUGCUCGGCAGAAGUGCAUAACGUCUGCAGAGACAAGAUGCUGCACAAACUAGUUCAGCGAGAAGAGGGCCCUGCUGGGAAGAUUGGAACAACACCUCUGAAUGGAAUCUUACAUGGAAAACUCCGCUUCACACCCCCCUCAGAUUUAGUGAUAAGAUAGCCUGUGAAGAAGGUGUACUGAACUGUAAAAAAGAAAAGCAAAAUAAGAACAGUGAACGGUCCAAGAACAAGGAAAGCAAUAAAGAGCAGGUCAAAACAGCAACGGCAUCAUGGAUAUCUGGCUUCAGGAUGUACUGUGGCAGCACUGACUCACAUUUUUCGGAUAGGAUAUACCACUGUCCGAGAAGUCAUAUAUGAAACUUUCUUGGCGAUUUGGGAGAACAUGAGAGAGAGAGAGAGAGAGAGAGAGAGAGAGAGAGAGAGAGAGAGAGAGAGAGAGAGCGUGCGAGCGUGCGUUCAUUUCCAGAAUUAAAUGAGGAAAGGUGGAUUGACAUAGCAGAUGGUUUUAAUAAAAAUUCAGACUUUCCCAAUUGUAUUGGUGCCAUCGACGGGAAACAUCAGAGUAAUAAAACCACGUCAUUCUGGCACACUUUACUAUAACUAGAAAAUUUAUUUUUCCAUCAUUUUACUUGUUUUAUGCAAUGCUGAUUAUAAGUUCACAUAUAUAGAUGUUGGAGCGUAUGGAAAAUGUAGUGACUCGUGUACAUUUAAGCAAUCAAUUUUGUACGAAAAACUCGCGAAUCAAAAUUUACGAAUACCUAAGGGAAGCCCGAUUUUUAACAACGGUGUAUCAAUGCCAUAUGUCAUUGUCGGAGACGAGGCAUUUGGUUUAUCUGAAAAUUUAAUGUGUCCUUAUAGAGGAAGGAGUUUAACAAACAAGAAGAGAAUCUUUAACUACCGACUUUCUCGGGCUAGGUGUUUUAUAGAAUUGCACAUUUGGCAUUCUGGCAAACAAAUGGAGAAUUUUUCAUCGCCCAAUGGACAUUCGAGAAGACUUCGCAAUUGCCAUACUGCAAGCGUGCUGUGUUUUACACAAUUAUGUGCACGAAAGGGAUGGUUAUAAAUUUGAAGACACAUUGUAUGUAUCUCCAGAACUGGAAAUUCCACCAGGUCAUACAGGCAGAGGGUGCCACUCAUCAUCAGCAUUUAUGAAUUUAUUUGCGGAUUAUUUUACAAAUGAAAAUCUGCUGGAGUGGCAAAACAGAAUUGCACUGGGGUAGUAAUUACACUGGUCAACACUCAU